CACGUAGGGGGCGAGCGUUGUCCGGAUUUAUUGGGCGUAAAGAGCUCGUAGGCGGCUCAGUAAGUCGGGUGUGAAACCUCCAGGCUCAACCUGGAGACGCCACCUGAUACUGCUGUGGCUGGAGUCCGGUAGGGGAGCGUGGAAUUCCUGGUGUAGCGGUGAAAUGCGCAGAUAUCAGGAAGAACACCUAUGGCGAAAGCAGCUCUCUGGGACGGUACUGACGCUGAGACGCGAAAGCGUGGGGAGCGAACAGG
rnacentral:rRNA from 1 species